rnacentral:rRNA from 1 species
ACAAUGAAGAGUUUGAUCCUGGCUCAGGAUGAACGCUAGCUACAGGCUUAACACAUGCAAGUCGAGGGGCAUCAGGAAGAAAGCUUGCUUUCUUUGCUGGCGACCGGCGCACGGGUGAGUAACACGUAUCCAACCUGCCCUUUACUCGGGGAUAGCCUUUCGAAAGAAAGAUUAAUACCCGAUAGCAUA